rnacentral:rRNA from 1 species
GAUGAACGCUGGCGGCGUGCCUAAUACAUGCAAGUCGAGCGAACGGACGAGAAGCUUGCUUCUCUGAUGUUAGCGGCGGACGGGUGAGUAACACGUGGAUAACCUACCUAUAAGACUGGGAUAACUUCGGGAAACCGGAGCUAAUACCGGAUAAUAUUUUGAACCGCAUGGUUCAAAAGUGAAAGACGGUCUUGCUGUCACUUAUAGAUGGAUCCGCGCUGCAUUAGCUAGUUGGUAAGGUAACGGCUUACCAAGGCAACGAUGCAUAGCCGACCUGAGAGGGUGAUCGGCCACACUGGAACUGAGACACGGUCCAGGCUCCUACGGGAGGCAGCAGUAGGGAAUCUUCCGCAAUGGGCGAAAGCCUGACGGAGCAACGCCGCGUGAGUGAUGAAGGUCUUCGGAUCGUAAAACUCUGUUAUUAGGGAAGAACAUAUGUGUAAGUAACUGUGCACAUCUUGACGGUACCGAAUCAGAAAGCCACGGCUAACUACGU